rnacentral:rRNA from 1 species
UACGUAGGGUCCGAGCGUUGUCCGGAUUUAUUGGGCGUAAAGAGCUCGUAGGCGGUUCCGUAAGUCAGAUGUGAAAACUCAGGGCUCAACCCGGAGACGCCAUCUGAUACUGCGGUGACUUGAGUCUGGUAGGGGAACACGGAAUUCCUGGUGUAGCGGUGAAAUGCGCAGAUAUCAGGGGGAACACCGAUGGCGAAGGCAGUGUUCUGGGCCAGUACUGACGCUGAGGAGCGAAAGCGUGGGGAGCAAACAGG